rnacentral:rRNA from 1 species
UACGAAGGGGGCUAGCGUUGCUCGGAAUCACUGGGCGUAAAGGGUGCGUAGGCGGGUCUUUAAGUCAGGGGUGAAAUCCUGGAGCUCAACUCCAGAACUGCCUUUGAUACUGAGGAUCUUGAGUUCGGGAGAGGUGAGUGGAACUGCGAGUGUAGAGGUGAAAUUCGUAGAUAUUCGCAAGAACACCAGUGGCGAAGGCGGCUCACUGGCCCGAUACUGACGCUGUAGGCACGAAAGCGUGGGGAGCAAACAGG